AGAGGCAGGCAGAUCUCUGUGAGUUCGAGGCCAGCCUGGUCUACAGAGCAAGUUCCAGGACAGCCUCCAAAGCCGCAGAGAAACCCUGUCUCGAAAA
rnacentral:miRNA from 1 species